UUAUCAGACUUGUUGCAAGGUUGUUCCAACAAGUCUGAUACAGUCAUGAUAUAACAAGAAUGUUACAACCUUGUGUCAUCAACCCUUGUAACAUUCUUGCUAUAUCAUGACUGUAUCAGACUUGUUAGAACAACUUUGCUACAAGUCUGAUAA
rnacentral:miRNA from 1 species